UACGGGGGGGGCAAGCGUUGUUCGGAAUUACUGGGCGUAAAGGGCGCGUAGGCGGCCUGCUAAGUCGGACGUGAAAUCCCUCGGCUCAACCGGGGAACUGCGUCCGAUACUGGUGGGCUCGAAUCCGGGAGAGGGAUGUGGAAUUCCAGGUGUAGCGGUGAAAUGCGUAGAUAUCUGGAGGAACACCGGUGGCGAAGGCGGCAUCCUGGACCGGUAUUGACGCUGAGACGCGAAAGCGUGGGGAGCGAACAGG
rnacentral:rRNA from 1 species